GAUCUUUUCCUCUCGUCGUUGCUCUUCACUGUAAUAAAUCACCAAAUAGAAUCAAACAAAAAAAAAAAAAAGAGAAAAAAAAUCUUUCUCCAAUUUCCCCCAUUUUUUAUUUCUCCUCUCUUUAUUAGUUUCAAAUUUAUCUUUCAAUUUUAUAGCCAUGACUGUCAUGACCCCUGCCCCCAUCAAUGUAUCCUCUCUCUCUAUUUCUUUUUUAAUUCUUUUAUAAAAAAAAUUAUUUUGAUUGAUUGUUGCCUUUGGUGGGUUUUUAGGGUUCUUUUUUUCUUCAAUUUGAUUUCUUUAUGGAUUUGACUUCAUCCGAUUUAAUUAUUUUUGGAAUUUUUAUCUUGAUUUUUUAGCAACAAGAAGAUGAGGAAAUGUUCAUCCCAAACUCUGAUUUAACCGACAAUCACCAACCCAUGAAAGUUGCCCUUUUUCUUUUUCAAUAAUUUUUUAAAGAAAUUUACUUUUUUGAAUCGUUUGGGAAAAAUCUAGUUAAUUUUUUUGGGCACUGAAAAUAGUGGGUUUAAUUUGAUUGUGAUUCUUGUGAUUUAUGUCUUAAUUGUUGUUGUAGCACAAGCUGAGACUGCAAAUGUUGUGGAAAAUUAACCAGUGGAGGAUCCUCCAUCAAGAUUUACUUGGAGGAUUGAUAACUUCUCUAGGUUAAACAGCGAAUACUGAUAUUUAGUAAAGGAAACAAUGCGGAUCAUUUGUCUAUGUAUUUGGAUAUUGCUGACUCAUAAUAAAUAUGGGUGGAGUAGAUAUGCACAGUUCAGUUUAGCAGUAGUUAAUCAAAUUCAUAAUAAAUAUUCCAUCAGAAAAAGGUACUAUCCUUUCAGUAAACUAUCUAUACACUUACUGUUUAUGUAUAUUUUGCAAAUUUUUUUGAUGGUAUAACAUCAACAAAGUUUUUUGCUAGGUUUAGAUAGUUUCUAUUACAUGAAGAAAUUCUUUGAAAGUUAUGCUAUGUUAUGACUUGAGAGAAAGAUGAAGCACAGUGAGAGAUAAAAGCCUUCAAUAGUUAUUGACUGAUCAUUGAUCAAUGAGUUGGCUUUCAUUUUUUAUAGUCUUGCAUUGAAUAUACAGUUAAAAUUAAAGAUUCACACUAAUUAUGGAUAGGCCAUUGCAUGCAACUUAGGACUGAAGUUCACUAUGUUGCUGUUGAAAUAGCUAGAGUUUAUAUGAGGAUGGUGAUGUUAAUUUCUUAUAGUUCUUUCUUUUUCUUUCAAUGCUAGAAUUUUAUAGCACCACAAAGCACUGUGGAUUAUGCAAUUUCUUUUUUUUUUCCCUUAAAAAUUUAAAUUUAAGGGUUUUUCAUGAUAAUUAUGUCUUUUAAACAUAUGCUUGGUUCCUUGCCGUCCCAAUCCUAUAACUCUCUGUAAGGAGGAAUAGGUUUUUAUUUAUUUAUUUAUCUAUUUAUUGAGCCACUUUGGAUGCCUAAAGCAUAAAUGGUGAGGUGCUUUUGUUUUGCAUAGAUGUCCAUUACUAAGCUGGCUAUAAAAAGAGAGGAAUUUCAUAUGGAUAACUGACUUUUGUGAAGAAGCCAUUAAAACGUAUGCCAUUAAAAAGUGACUAAAUCAAUGCUUUUCUAUGUGCUCAAUGUUACGGGAACCUUUUUGUAUCAUACAAUCUCUUGAUGAACAAAUUGCAAAGUCAACUAAAGGGUCCUUUUUUCUUGAAGCUGGAGAAUUCUAAAGUGAAUGGUGAAAGAGCUAAUUACAUUUUCUUGUUUACCUGUUAGAGUUAAAGCCUAUUGUGUGCUUUACAAUGGAAUAUUUUACAAUGGAAUAUUUUGAUUGUGUGGAAUUAUAACGUGAUGGAUAGUUUGUGUUUACGAAUUGGUCAUCGUAAGUUAUGAUAGACUUACAAAGAUUAUUGUUCGUAAAAUAAACUAUUGGAUUUCAAGCUAAGUCUCAUCUCAUUAUUGUUGCAGCCACUAGAGAGAGCCAAAUGCUUAAUGUCAUAUUUACUAGUAAUAAGUAUACAAUAUAAAGCCUAACCUGCAUGGCUAUAGUGUUAUCCAUUAAAGCCUGAUGACAUAUGUAAUUUAUUUACAUGGUUUUAUUUUAGCAUAGUGAUUGCAUAAUAAGGUGGUGCAGAACAGUUUAUUAGUACUCAACUGACAUGAUAGCCUACUAUCAAAAUAUAGCUUACAGGAUUGCCAAUUGUAUUGUUAUUAAUUUAUGCAGGUUUUCAACUAUUAAUGAAAAUAUGCUUUUAGGUUACUUGAAGUUUGUAUUAAAUGAAUAAUUGAUUCUUAGUCCUAUAUUUGUCACAACAUUGCAUCCAUAUUCUUGUUUUGGAAGUUCAUAUUAUUUCUGAUUGUGGUCUUUCAAAUAGAUAUGGACAAAUCCACUUUGUAUUGUUAGCUUUGGUGACUUGCUAAUAACUAGCUACCAACUUACCAACCUUCCAUCCUAUUAUCCACUGUUGUAACCAAAACGCCCACUCCAAAAGGAAAAAUAGAGGAUUAUUGCGUUAACCUAGAAACAGAGCCAAGGCAGCCCUGUAACUGCACCAUUCUCCACGCCUCAUUCAUGUGUCAUCCUCUCGUUCCUUUUACUGGCUCCACCAUGUACUUUUAGGAAGGGCUUUCUAAAUGACCCAAGUUUGUGGUCAGGAUUGCCAUACAUGAUGAUUUAGUAUGCCAUGUCCAAACGGAAGAAGGGGCCUCAUUUUGUUCCAACUUGCGUCGGUACACAAUGCUAGGUUUUCUACUCCAUCCCUACUUCAGGCUCAGUCAUGGCCAAUUGCUUUGCAAGGUAGAGGUAGUGGCCAUUGCGAAAAUAGGUUAUGGGAAAACAUUGGGUUACCUAAUUCCUUGAUUUAUGCAUCUCAAGCAUUGCUAUAAUGAUCCUCAAAUGGAUCCAACUAUGUAAGUAUUGUCACCAACAAGAGAGUUGGCUACUCAGUUACAAGAUGAAGCUCACAAGUUUGGGAAGUCAUCAAGAAUUAGUUGCACAGUAUGUUACCAUUCUUUAAGUCAGGACUUCAAUUUGUUCAAAUUUUUUUUUUUCAAUUUUUUUGUCUUCUAAUUUCUUCAAUAAUGUCAACAAAGAAGUCUUUCAAAGGUGAAGG